UUUUUUUUUUUUUUUUUUUUUUAAGAGCCUGCUGGGCUCAAUCGUAGAGCAUGCAACAUUCCAUCUCGGGUUUGUGAGUUCAGCCCAUUGGGUAUAAAGAUUACUUAAAAAUAAAAUCUUUUUAAAAAAUGAAGACGCAUUGGUUUAAAAAAAAUUCCUUUAGGGAUCCCUGGAUAUUGCCAGAUUGCAUAAUGCUAUUCCAUCAAAAUUCUCAUACAAGGUCUUUGAAUACAUGCUGGGCUUAGGUGUUUGUUUGUUUGUUUGUUUGUUUGUUUGUUUGUUUUAAGACUUCUGUCCUGAAAUGAGCCUGGCUAUUUUUUUAUAUUUUAAGAUUUUAUUUACUUAUUCAUGAGAGACACAGGGAGAGGCAGAGACAGGAGAAGCAGGCUCCAUGCAAGGAGCCUGACAUGGGACUUGAUCCCAGAACUCUGGCAUCAUGCCCUGAGCUGAAGGCAGAUGCUCAACCACUGAGCCACCCAGGCAUCCCAGUGGGUUAGGCUUUUAAGACUUUUAAAAAAGUACCUGCUAAGUACUUAAUAUUUGGCUUUUGUUGGAAAAUGUUUUUAGGGGUGCCUAGGUGGGUGAGUGGGUUAGGUGGCCAACUCUUGAUUUUAGCUCAGGUCAUGGUUUCAAGGUUGUGGGAUAAGGCUCUGAGAUAGGCUCUGUGCUGGAUGUCAAGCCUACUUAAGAUUCUCUCUCUCCCUCUCUGUAUCUCCCCCUCCCAUGUCCUUCUUUUAAAAAAUGCUUUUAAAUUGAUGUUUUGGGGUGCCUGGGUGGCUCAGUGAGUUAAGCAUCUGCCUGUGGCUCAGAUUAUGAUCUCAGGGUCCUGGGAUCAAGUCCCAUAUGGGGCUCCGUGCUCAGCGGGGAGUCUGCUUCAGAUGGGGCCAAUGAAACUGUUCUUCUGGCAAUGAAUGUCUGACAGUCAAACAUAAAAUACUAGAAAAUGAAAACUAAAACACAGAAGCAGUAAUUUUGAAGUCUUAAAAGGGAAAAUUUAAAAUUCAGUCAAGUUUAAGGCUUUUAAAAUGAGAAGGCUUGUAGAAUGACUGAGAGAAAAUAUACUUUCCCCCCUGAGGAAAAAUUUACCAAGAGAAUCUAGAAGAGGGAAAGAAAUUGGAGAUACAGAGAGGAAAGACAUUUAUCUUUAUCACAGAUAACCCCACAUUUAUACUCGGGUAAUUUCACAUCUCACAAAUCAUUUUACAGAAUCACAAGCCAUCAAUACCAGAUAUUAUAUGUAUGUCCCAACACCCAACUUAACUCUGUGCGUUAUCCUGCCAAGGAAUUAAUUCAUCUGAUUUGAAAAAACAAGUCAAAUAUGGCUUCCACAAAAGAUAUUCUACAUAAGUGAUUCUCAGGAACAUGUGAACAAGUGCCGCUCUUCAUAAGGAAAUACUCUGGAGGGCAGGCCAGAAGACAAGGGUUCGAUUUUUCCCUACGGAGCCUAUAACUGUAGAGAGGCAAAGCCAUGUAUAUACAUCAAGAGGGAUACAAGCAGUGGAAACACAUGCCUCAUGAGCCACACAAACGAAGCACCAGCAAUCAUGCUCAGACCCCAGAAAUUCCUUCUGGAUGGUCCUGAAAGCUGUGCUGCUCCAAAAUGGGGAGGGAGGGUUGGCCUUGGGCUGGGCUUGUAAAGGUUUGACAUUCCAUGAGCAAGGUUGGGAAAUGCAAGACAGGUGAACUUACCCUAAUGAUCAAAGAUGAGGGAGAACUUCCCCAUCUAUGAAUAAUGGAGCCUAUGUCCAAGGAAGAGAGUUCCUAUUUUAAAGAUUAUCAAGAAAUCAUCUUAUUCCACAGAGAUGCAUGCUGUAUCAACACACUUAUGUGCCCUAGAAUGCCACUUCCAUCAUAACUACUGAGCACAGUCUGCCGUCUCUAACCAGUUCAAUGAAAAUAAGCUUUUCAGUGGCCAAUUUCCCAAAAACACUGAGUUUCAACAUACACCAACAUUGAUCCAUCAAAAAUUUAUUACUAUCAAAAGAGAUUGGGUGCCUCAGUGGUUAAGUAUCUGCCUUUGGCUUAGGUCGUGAUCCUGGAGUCUUGGGAUCGAGUCCCGCAUCGGGCUCCCUGCGUGGAACUUGCUUUUCCCUCUGCCUGUGUUUUUGUAGGACCACGCCCUGGGCUGAAGGCAGGCGCUAAACCGCUGAGCCACCAGGGAUCCCCUAAAAAGUAGAUUUUAAAGUAAUUCAUACUUGGAUUAAAUUUCUUAAACAUCGAGGAUAGCUAGAAAAUUUGAGUUAGAUUCUAUUUUAUUUUCAUGGGAGCAUUAAAAAGAUUGCUGUUUGUUGACAGGGUGGUUUGGUCUUCCAGUGAAUAUAAUGUUUUUUUAUUUUAUUUUUUAUUUUUCAUAAUGUUUUUUUUUAAAUAAAUCUACUUUGUCAUUAGUAUCCCAAAUCUAAUUAUAAACUGAGGUGGAACAUGAGAUAAAUCACAAAAGUAACCAAAAUCAGGAAAACAGUCUGUUGAAAGAGGAGAAUCAGGAAAACCAUUGGGAAAGUACUUAUUGUCCCCAUUCCAAAGAAUUCCUGUGAAUAUCCAGUAGUUAAAGAAAACACAAAACUCUGAGUGACCAGAGACAUUGAAAGAGAAUGCAUAGACUACAAAAUCAAGGCAACAGGAUUCAGAUAAAAUUGAGAUACCAGGGCAGCAUAGAGUCUUAAAAGGAAGCCACAGAAAAAUGGGUUUGGAUAUAGGGACUUAAUAUUCCACAGAGUUUAGUUGUUGAGCCUCCCAGGCUGCCCUUACAAGUACUUUAUUUUUUUUUUUUUAAGAUUUUAUUUAUUUAUUCAUGAUAGUCACAGAGAGAGAGAGAGGCAGAGACACAGGCAGAGGGAGAAGCAGGCUCCAUGCAGGGAGCCCGACGUGGGAUUCGAUCCGGAGUCUCCAGGAUCGCGCCCUGGGCCAAAGGCAGGCGCCAAACUGCUGCGCCACCCAGGGAUCCCCUUACAAGUACUUUAAUACGAGCCAAAAGAGCCAAUGGCUCUUUUAUACGAGCCACUUUGGAAGAUUUACACAUUCCCGCGCUACCCUGAACCUUUCCUUGCUAGCCACUCCAGCCCGUCUCGGGUGUGGGAAAAGCCCAUUCAUCCUUCAAGUGAAGAUUAAUGAUGAAAUAACCCACAGAAAAAUUUAGAAAUCAGUACACGAAUCAACUGCUGUACUAAAAAAAAAAAAAA
rnacentral:lncRNA from 1 species